AUUGAACGCUGGCGGCAUGCCUUACACAUGCAAGUCGAACGGUAACGCGGGGCAACCUGGCGACGAGUGGCGAACGGGUGAGUAAUGCAUCGGAACGUGCCUGGUAGUGGGGGAUAACUGCUCGAAAGAGCAGCUAAUACCGCAUACGACCUGUGGGUGAAAGGGGGGGAUCGCAAGACCUCUCGCUAUCAGAGCGGCCGAUGUCGGAUUAGCUAGUUGGUGGGGUAAAGGCCCACCAAGGCGACGAUCCGUGGCUGGUCUGAGAGGACGACCAGGCACAGUGGGACUGAGACACGGCCCAGACUCCUACGGGAGGCAGCAGUGGGGAAUUUUGGACAAGGGACGAAAGUCUGAUCCAGCCAUGCCGCGUGCGGGAAGAAGGCCUUCGGGUUGUAAACCGCUUUUGUCAGGGAAGAAAUCUUCUGAGUUAAUACCUCGGGAGGAUGACGGUACCUGAAGAAUAAGCACCGGCUAACUACGUGCCAGCCGCCGCCGUAACAC
rnacentral:rRNA from 1 species